rnacentral:rRNA from 1 species
AGCAGCCGCGGUAAUUCCAGCUCCAAUAGCGUAUAUUAAAGUUGUUGCAGUUAAAAAGCUCGUAGUUGAAUUUCGGGGUCUGUCCGUCGGUCGGGCUUCACGGUCCGUACUGGUGUGAUGGGUUCCUACCUUCUGAAUAACCGGCAUGCCAUUCAGUUGGUGCGCCGGGGAAGCAGAGCUAUUACCUUGAAAAAUUAGAGUGCUUAAAGCAGGCUAGUGCUUGAAUAGAUUAGCAUGGAAUAAUAAAAUAGGACGGCAUGGUUCUAUUUUGUUGGUUUCUAGGAUCACCGUAAUGAUUAAUAGGGAUAGUUGGGGGCAUUAGUAUUCAAUUGUCAGAGGUGAAAUUCUUGGAUUUAUUGAAGACUAACUUCUGCGAAAGCAUUUGCCAAGGAUGUUUUCAUUAAUCAAGAACGAAAGUUAGGGGAUCGAAGACGAUCAGAUACCGUCGUAGUCUUAACCAUAAACUAUGCCGACUAGGGAUCGGACGA